CGGGAAUUUUCGGCAAUGGGGGGAACCCUGACCGAGCAACGCCGCGUGAGGGAAGAAGGUCUUCGGAUCGUAAACCUUUGUCAUCAGGGACGAUCAUGACGGUACCUGAGGAGGAAGCCACGGCUAACUACGUGCCAGCAGCCGCGGUAAUACGUAGGUGGCGAGCGUUGUCCGGAAUUACUGGGCGUAAAGGGCGUGUAGGUGGCGUUUUAAGUCAGGCGUGAAAACCCACGGCUUAACCGUGGGCCUGCGCUUGAAACUGGGGGGCUUGAGGGCAGGAGAGGAAAGCGGAAUUCCCAGUGUAGCGGUGAAAUGCGUAGAUAUUGGGAGGAACACCAGUGGCGAAGGCGGCUUUCUGGACUGACCCUGACACUGAGGCGCGAAAGCCAGGGGAGCGAACG
rnacentral:rRNA from 1 species